rnacentral:lncRNA from 1 species
GUUCCAGAUGAGAUCUGAGUGGGGGCGUAGCCAAACCAUAUCACUCCAGGAGAUUCUUUUGGAUAUUAAUAUUAGGAAUAUCAGUAUUUCUCCUUAACAAAUAAUUUAAUAGUGAACAAUAUGAAACACGGAGGACAAUGCCGAGGUAUUGUUUCCCUCAGGGAUGCCUUCUCCAACUCCUGUAUGUGUCUCUGUGUUUAAUGCUCUCAAAGCACUUCUUAUUACCCAUAACCGCUGGAUAGCAUUGGACUGAAGCUUUCUUAAGCACAGGGCACAGUCCGAUUGUUUAAAAGUGUGUAGCAGCCUCCCUCCCCCACUUAUCUCUCUUCCCCCUGCUCCAGCCACGUGGUGCUUGCCUGCUUCCCCUUUGCCUUCCUCCAUGAUUGUAAGUUUCCUGAGGCCUCCCCAGUCAUGCUUCCUGUACAGCCUGUGGAACCAUGAGCCAAUUAAACCUCUUUUCUUUAUAAAUUAUGCAGUCUCAGGUAGAUCUUUAUAGUAAUGUGAGAAUGGACUGAUACAGGCUGCUGAGAAAUGGUAAUAUUGUAGUGAAGGUAAUUACCUCUAGCUGCUGCAACAGACAAAUCCCCAAGUUUCCCACUCAAAUAAAGUUUAUUUUUUGCUCAUGUGGGUCCAGUUUGUCCAUCCAUCUGGACCAUAGAUUCUCCAAGGUCAUGGUUGCAAAGGAGAGGGAAGGUGGAAAAGGCACAUGGCCUUUUAACUGCCUUAGCCCAGAAGUGACAUGUGUCACUGUGGUUCAGCAUAUUUGGCCAGAUCUAAUCACAGGGCCCCAAGGAACUGCAGGGGAGGCUGGGAAAUGUAUUUUAUGAGUAUGCAUAUGGUUAGUGAACAUUAACUGCUUCUGCCACUAUAUUUUUGUCAACUAGAAUUGUAUGCAUCCCCUUUUUCUACUUAGUGUGCUAUUAAGGUUAGUAGGUUGUGGGGGGUUGGGGGUGGGAGGUAGGGAGAAACAGGAUACAAGGAUAUGCAUAGUGAUGUCUUCUAUCUUUUCUAGUAG